rnacentral:rRNA from 1 species
UACGUAGGGUGCGAGCGUUGUCCGGAAUUAUUGGGCGUAAAGGGCUCGUAGGCGGUUUGUCGCGUCGGGAGUGAAAACCUCGGGCUUAACUCGGGGCUUGCUUUCGAUACGGGCAGACUGGAGGUAUGCAGGGGAGAACGGAAUUCCUGGUGUAGCGGUGAAAUGCGCAGAUAUCAGGAGGAACACCAAUGGCGAAGGCAGCUCGCUGGAACGGUACUGACGCUGAGGCGCGAAAGCGUGGGGAGCAAACAGG